rnacentral:rRNA from 1 species
CCUACGGGAGGCAGCAGUGGGGAAUAUUGGACAAUGGGGGGAACCCUGAUCCAGCGACGCCGCGUGAGUGAAGAAGUCUUUCGGUAUGUAAAGCUCUAUCAGCAGGGAAGAAAGAAAUGACGGUACCUGACUACUAAGCCCCGGCUAACUACGUGCCAGCAGCCGCGGUAAUACGUCGGGGGCAAGCGUUAUCCGGAUUUACUGGGUGUACAGGGAGCGUAGACGGCGAUGCAAGUCUGAAGUGAAAGGCGGGGGCCCAACCCCUGGAUUGCUUUGGACACUGGAUGGCUGGAGUGCAGGAGAGGUAAGUGGAAUUCCUAGUGUAGCGGUGAAAUGCGUAGAUAUUAGGAGGAACACCAGUGGCGAAGGCGGCUUACUGGACUGUAACUGACGUUGAGGCUCGAAAGCGUGGGGAGCAAACAGGAUUAGAUACCCUAGUAGUC